rnacentral:rRNA from 1 species
CUGCAGCCCGAGUGGUGAUCGAUUUUAUUGAGCCUAAAGCGUCCGUAGCCGGACUAGUAAACCCUUGGGUAAAUUGGGCAGCUUAACUGUCCAAAUUCCGAGGGGACUGUUAGUCUUGGGACCGGGAGAGGUCAGAGGUACUCAAGGGGUAGGGGCUAAAUCCUGUAAUCCUUUGGGGACCACCAGUGGCGAAGGCGUCUGACUAGAACGGAUCCGACGGUAAGGGACGAAACCCUGGGGCGCGAACCGGAUUAGAUACCCGAGUAGUCC